rnacentral:rRNA from 1 species
GACGAACGCUGGCGGCGUGCUUAACACAUGCAAGUCGAACGGAAAGGCCCUGCUUUUGUGGGGUGCUCGAGUGGCGAACGGGUGAGUAACACGUGAGUAUCCUGCCCUUGACUUUGGGAUAACUUCAGGAAACUGGGGCUAAUACCGGCUAGGAGCUCCUGCUGCAUGGUGGGGGUUGGAAAGUUUCGGCGGUUGGGGAUGGACUCGCGGCUUAUCAGCUUGUUGGUGGGGUAGUGGCUUACCAAGGCUUUGACGGGUAGCCGGCCUGAGAGGGUGACCGGCGACAUUGGGACUGAGAUACGGCGCAGAGUCCUACGGGAGGCAGCAGUGGGGAGUAUUGCACAAUGGGCGGAAGCCUGAUGCAGCAACGCCGCGUGCGGGAAGACGGCCUUCGGGUUGUAAACCGCUUUCGCCUGUGACGAAGCGUGAGUGACGGUAAUGGGUAAAGAAGCACCGGCUAACUACGUG